AAAAAGGGCUUCUGCCGUGCGUGGCACGGGGGGGCCGCGCGGCCGCCCCCGCGGAAUCGACAUCAAGAGAUUUCGGAAGCACAAUUUUUGCGGUGGGGGGAGGCCGGUAACCGCUCGUUCCGGCGCCCCG
ensembl:snRNA